GUUCGUUGUCUCUGAAGUGUUAAAGAUACUGCGUUGGACUUCUAAUCCAAAGGUCGUGGGUUCAAAUCCCACUUCAGAUG